UACGAAGGGGACUAGCGUUGUUCGGAAUUACUGGGCGUAAAGCGCACGUAGGCGGCUUCUUAAGUCAGGGGUGAAAUCCUGGAGCUCAACUCCAGAACUGCCUUUGAUACUGGGAGCUCGAGUCCGGGAGAGGUGAGUGGAACUGCGAGUGUAGAGGUGAAAUUCGUAGAUAUUCGCAAGAACACCAGUGGCGAAGGCGGCUCA
rnacentral:rRNA from 1 species